AGUAUCACUGAUGAUUACUUGGCUCCCUCUACUGAAGUCUCUGAGGAUAAUCGCCAUGUUACCCAAUAUUUGUCUGAGAUACU